GAUGAACGCUGGCGGCGUGCCUAAUACAUGCAAGUCGAGCGAACAGACGAGGAGCUUGCUCCUCUGACGUUAGCGGCGGACGGGUGAGUAACACGUGGAUAACCUACCUAUAAGACUGGGAUAACUUCGGGAAACCGGAGCUAAUACCGGAUAAUAUAUUGAACCGCAUGGUUCAAUAGUGAAAGACGGUUUUGCUGUCACUUAUAGAUGGAUCCGCGCCGCAUUAGCUAGUUGGUAAGGUAACGGCUUACCAAGGCGACGAUGCGUAGCCGACCUGAGAGGGUGAUCCGCCCCACUGGAACUGAGACACGGUCCAGACUCCUACGGGAGGCAGCAGUAGGGAAUCUUCCGCAAUGGGCGAAAGCCUGACGGAGCAACGCCGCGUGAGUGAUGAAGGUCUUCGGAUCGUAAAACUCUGUUAUUAGGGAAGAACAAAUGUGUAAGUAACUAUGCACGUCUUGACGGUACCUAAUCAGAAAGCCACGGCUAACUACGUG
rnacentral:rRNA from 1 species